UUAAUUCUGCGGGGCUCGUCACCGAGUUACGAUGAUUGAGCCAACGCCGAUAAAAAGGGAGACCAAGGCCGCCUUUAGGGCCGGUGCAUUCCUUCAUCGUUAAGGAAUUGCCAUAGGCUGCGGCUAAAAAAGGGUCACCCACCUGUCUAGUGCAGGUUCAAUUUCGGCUCCGGAACGGCCAUCGCGGAUUUCCC
rnacentral:other from 1 species